rnacentral:lncRNA from 1 species
CGCCCAUGACUCUGCUCGUGAUCUAAGCCGAUCCGUCGACGCCCGCGCGCCGUCGUCAACUUUGAUGGCUCGAACCCGAGGAGUUCCCUCUGAUGCCGCGUCGCUCCACCUCGAAGGCCGCAACCCCGUCGAUGCCCCGCCGCUGUCGUGGCCCUUCACCGCUGCAGAGUAUCGCCGUCACGACCCUCCUCCGUCGCGGUCUCAGAUCCGCGGCUCCACUGUCGGGUCACAGCCCCAGCGGAGCUCCGGCAUCAGCAAAGCCCGCCAGCUGCUCGACGGCGAUCCUGAGAGAGAGAGCGGUGCUCUCCUCUCAAACGGGUUCCGCCCGCCAAGUGCUUGAUGUGCCCGGAGUCCGCCCACCAACCGCUCGACGGCGAUCCUGAGAGAGAGAGCGGUGCUCUCCUCUCAAACGGGUUCCACCCGCCAAGUGCUCGAUGUGCCCGGAGUCCUCCCACCAACCGCUCGACGGCGAAUCUGAGAGAGAGAGCGGUGCUCUCUUCUCAAACAACGGCAAAUUCGAGAGAGAGAGAGAGAGAGCAGUGCUCUCCUUUCAAAUGAAGUUAGAUCCACUCGCCAAGUGCUCGACGGCGAAAUUGAGAGAGAGAGCGAUGCUCUCCUCUCAAAUGAAGUCAAGUCCGCCAACCGCUCCGACAACGAAUCCGAGAGAGAGAGAGCGGUGCUCUCCUCUCAAACAAAGUUCGCCCGCUAAUUGCUAGGUGGCGAAUCAUAAAGAGAGCGAUGCUCUCAUUUACCGACUAAUCAUUCGACGAAAUACUUCGUCGUCGACGUGCUAAUCAAACCGCUCGAUGGAAUGCCGAGAUGAACAUCGAUGGUGCUUUUUGCAAAAUAUCACCAAAAAGAGAGAUCACUCUAAAAGAGAGAGAGAGCUUUGACAAAAUCACAUUAGACGCUUCAAAUUAAAUUGAAAUUUAAUUUGUUAUUCAAAUCCAGAAUUUGAAGAAAAUGUAUAUGAAAAUCUUAAUUGAUCAAAACUUUUUUUUUUAAUAAAACCUCGAGACAUGAAUUUAGGCCCGAUCAUAUGGACCUAAGUCAUUGAACCUCAACCCAUCCGUAUUAAAUCAACACUUUGACUCUAAACCCAUCUAAACCCAUUAACCUUAACCUCACUCAAAAUCCAUUAACCGUUACCUAUAACCCAAUCCAAUUAAACCUUAGCCCAAUUCUAAACCUAUAACCUAUAACCCAAUCCAAUUAAAUCUAAGCCUAGUCCAAAGCCCAGAGCCCAUUUACAAAUGGCCCCGGUCCAAAACCCAUUUGGGCCCACUAUCUAAACCCAUUAUCCAAAACUCAUUAAAACCAUUAACCCAUGAACCCAUAUACAUAAACCUAUAUACAUUUACCCAUGAACCCGUACACAUUUAACCCAUAUCCAAGCCCAUAACUUUAACCAAGUCCAUGAACUUUGAACCAAAACCAUGGACCAAACCAUACACCAAAUCCUGUGGACCAUACCAUACACCAAAUCCACGAACUAUGAAUCAAGUUCAUGAAUCAAAUCAAGUUCAUGAACCAGGGAUCAUAGACCACAAACCAUACACCAAGUUCAUGAACCAUAAACCCAUGAACCAUAAAUCCAUGAACCAUAAGUCCAUGAACCAUAAACCCAUACACCAAGUUCAUGAACCAUAAACCCAUGAACCAUAAGUCCAUGAACCACAAACCCAUGAACCGUAAGUCCAUGAACCAUAAAUCCAUGAAUCAUGGACUUCAUGAACCAUAAGUCCAUGAACCAUAAACCCAUGAACCAUAAGUCCAUGAACCANCGCCGCCGGCGUAGACCCCCUCUUGCGCGGCCCCCACCGAUCGAAGCCGCACGAGGUCGCUCAAAGCUCCCUCAUCACCAUCGAGCCGGCCGCGCUAAACCCUUCCACUCGGCCGCUCCACUGAGCUCGCCGCCCUCAAUCGCUCGAAGCCGCUCCGGCCUUAGCCGCUCGAAGGCCCGCUGCUGUCCUUGACUCGAAGCCGCGCCACCCGCGGCCGAUACUUUCGAAGCCGCGCCACCCGCGGCAGGUCCGCCCGAAGCCACACAGAGGCUCCGUCGAAGUCGCUGUCCUCUCGAAGCCGCGCCACCAGCGGCCGGUCCUCUCGAAGCCGCGCCACCCGCGGCCGGUCCUCUCGAAGCCGCGCCACCCGCGGCCGAUCCGCCNCCCGAAGCCGCGCCACCCGCGGCCGAUACUUUCGAAGCCGCGCCACCCGCGGCAGGUCCGCCCGAAGCCACGCAGAGGCUCCGUCGAAGUCGCCGUCACCCGAAGCCGCGCCACCCGCGGCCGGUCCUCUCGAAGCCGCGCCACCCGCGGCCGGUCCUCUCGAAGCCGCGCCACCCGCGGCCGAUCCGCCCGAAGCCGCGCCACCCGCGGCCAAUUCGUCGAUGCCCAUGCCGAGCCGCCGCCCAUAACUCUGCUCGUGAUCUUGGCCGAGCCGCGCCACCCGCGCGCCGUCGUCGACUUUGAUGGCUCGAACCCGAGGAGUUCCCUCUAAUGCCGCGUCGCUCCACCUCGAAGGCCGCAGCCCCGUCGAUGCCACGCCGCUGUCGUGGCCCUUCACCGCUGCAGAGCGUCGUCGUCACGGCCCUCCUCCGUCGUGGUCUCAGAUCCGCGGCUCCACUGUCAGGUCACAGCCCCAGCGAAGCUCCGUCAUCAACAAAGCCCGCCAGCUGCUCGACGGCGAUCCUGAGAGAGAGAGCGGUGCUCUACUCUCAAACGGAGUCCGCCCACCAACCGCUCGACGGCGAACCUGAGAGAGAGAGCGGUGCUCUCCUCUUAAAUGAAUUUAGAUCCGCUCGCCAAGCGCUCGACGACGAAAUUGAGAGAGAGAGCGGUGCUCUCCUCUCAAAUGAAGUCAAGUCCGCCAACCGCUCCGACGACGAAUCCGAGAGAGAGAGCGGUGCUCUCCUCUCAAACAAAGUUCGCCCGCUAAUUGCUCGGUGGCGAAUCAUAAAGAGAGCGAUGCUCUCAUUUACCGACCAAUCAUUCGACGAAAUACUUCGUCGUCGACGUGCUAAUCAAACCGCUCGAUGGAAUGCCGAGAUGAACAUCGAUGGUGCUCUUUGCAAAAUAUCACCAAAAAGAGAGAUCACUCUAAAAGAGAGAGAGAGCUUUGACAAAAUCACAUUAGACACUUCAAAUUAAAUUGAAAUUUAAUUUGUUAUUCAAAUCCAGAAUUUGAAGAAAAUGUAUAUGAAAAUCUUAAUUGAUCAAAAAUUUUUUUUUUUAAUAAAACCUCGAGACAUGAAUCUAGGCCCGAUCAUAUGGACCUAAGUCAUUGAAC